GAUUGUUGCUUAGUAUAGAUGUUUCGCAUCAUUUGUAGUUUCGAUUUAAAAAAAACGGUUGAUCGGAAUCAACAUUUCGGAUCUUAUUCGGGAUACGACACAGCCGUUUGGCGAAAGGGCUGGGUAGAGUAACGAAAAAUCUCAUAGUUAUCAUCAUCGGGGGUGCCGGAACACAUUAAACGGAGCUUUCAAAAUACGAGCGCAGAGGUUCCGGAAUGGAUUCCUCAGACAAACCCGGUACGAUGGAGUUGAAAAAGGAUGGUGGCAAUAGGUACAAAUCCACCCGGUAUGGCAAAAUAGUCCCAGACAGAACUCCGUCCCGGACCGAAGAAGAAAGUGAAUAGGUUUAAAAAUACUGAAGCAAAUGUUUUUUUAACAAUAAAAGCUUGAAAGAUUUA